rnacentral:lncRNA from 1 species
UUUCGAUUGUAACUGGGACAAUUUGCAUAGUGAUUCCCUUUCAGAGCUUUCUCGGGCCCAUAACAAGCGCAGGCAGCUAUUCAAAUGCAAGUUGCGUCCCCAAAUGCGCGGCUGGCCUGAGCUAAAGGAGCGGCUCGUCACCGUGCGAGCCGAGACCAGCGUUGGGGUUCUGGGUCACCUCUUUUCUCCCGGCUUUUCCCUAGCUCUCCGGUUCCUGAAUUAGCUGUUUGUUUAUGGCUCCAGACGUGUGUGUGCCAGCGAGCCGAGGCAGCGCGCAAGGGAGGGAAUUGAUCUUUCCUCAGACUCAAAGCUGGAGCCGAAGAAGUGCGGGGUUUGGGGGGUUCUGAGUGGGACUCAGACCCUAGGUGCUGAGGGGAAGCCGGUGGGCUCUCUGGCCCGCUUCUCUAACCCCAGCGACCUUGCAGGAAUCCUCAGGCCUGAGAGCGCCCGGGCUCUGGGCUUUGCAGAAAGUGGCGGCGGCUGUGUCCCGGGUUUUAAAAUCAACGCAAAGAAAAGGAGGCAAAGCUGAAAGCUUGUCGCGUGUCAGAAGCAACCUGCCAUGAAAUCCGCUAAUGCGCCCCGACUCGCCCUUCGCGGAACAGUCGUUCAAGAAGAGAUGGCCAUAAGGGCAGAUCAAUCAUUUCAAUGGGAUUAAAAUAUGGUGGAAGGAACAGUUGAGCUGAGAUUAUUUCAACCCAUCCUUUGGUCUUACAAGAGAUGCAAGCACUCUAUACUACUGGAAAGGAGUUCAAGAAAGAAGAGAGAAGAAAAGAAAAGAAGGAAGGUAGAUUUGGUUUCUAGAAAAUAUUUUGUACUUGAGUGUAUCUGAAGCAAUGAUAAAUAAAUUAAAUUAGUAUUA